rnacentral:lncRNA from 1 species
GGAAGUUCACCUAGAUGUUGAUUCAAGGAAUUCUUUUAAGGCUGAAAUAUUAAAGUAUUUUUUGUAUGACAGUUAAAUAAUUACUGGUGACACCAUGGUGAAGGAGAUCUCUAUGCUUUAUGUCCAUGAUUUUAUCUUGUGUGUAGCCUCUCUUUCCUUCUCUCUUUUUUCUCAUUAGUAUUAGAGAGAUAUGUUUAUGAACAUUAUACAAAAUUAAAAUGUGCAGGUUUUGUGUUCUGACAGAGGUGUAACGAUGUUUAUAUGGGCAAUUGGAAAAAUUAGUUUAAAAUCUUAACAAAGUACAGAUAUGAAAUAAGUUUAUAUCCCAGAAAGAUGUGAGCAGUGAUGUUCCAUGUUGAUGUGAUUUUUAAAUGCCAUUAAA